ensembl:lncRNA
AUUUAAUAUCGCUCUUGUUCUUCACAGGGGCUUUCCUUAAUGUGACAGAUUCUCCUCCCACUGUCACCAGCACAAAAGCUGGUUCAUCUACUACAACCGCUACAUUAGGUGAACAAGGCAUGGGAACCAACUUCUACAGUGUUAAUAUGACUCUGAAUAUGAACGUAACUGGCAGUGAUCCAGGGACGACUAUUCAGAAGUGGGUUCAAAGAAUGCUGAAAAAGGAAAAGAUGAGUGCAUUCAAUUUCAGAUUGUUAAACUCGAUUUUUAAAGACAUUACUGGAACAGUGGAACUAGAGAAGACGGUCAAGGUGAGGAAUGAGAACAAGUUUCGAUGUACCUUCCAUGUUGAGGAUCUUGAGACGCGGAACGUUACAGAAGCUCAGAGACUCAUUGCUGACCAGCUGUCUGGGAAUCAUGUUGAUGAUAACAUCUUGGUACAACACGAAGACAUCCACGUGUUACAUAUAGAUCCAGGGAAUUGUCCUGAGGAAACCCAUAAUAGUUUCUGGGGUCGGUAUAUUUGGCCAAUCACAGAAGCCCAGAAUAUACAAAAAAUGGACUGUGAGAAGAACCGUGGAGAGAAGGCUUGCAGAAAA